rnacentral:rRNA from 1 species
AACGAACGCUGGCGGCGUGCUUAACACAUGCAAGUCGAACGGAAAGGCCCUGCUUUUGUGGGGUGCUCGAGUGGCGAACGGGUGAGUAACACGUGAGUAACCUGCCCUUGACUUUGGGAUAACUUCAGGAAACUGGGGCUAAUACCGGAUAGGAGCUCCUGCUGCAUGGUGGGGGUUGGAAAGUUUCGGCGGUUGGGGAUGGACUCGCGGCUUAUCAGCUUGUUGGUGGGGUAGUGGCUUACCAAGGCUUUGACGGGUAGCCGGCCUGAGAGGGUGACCGGCCACAUUGGGACUGAGAUACGGCCCAGACUCCUACGGGAGGCAGCAGUGGGGAAUAUUGCACAAUGGGCGGAAGCCUGAGGCAGCAACGCCGCGUGCGGGAUGACGGCCUUCGGGUUGUAAACCGCUUUCGCCUGUGACGAAGCGUGAGUGACGGUAAUGGGUAAAGAAGCACCGGCUAACUACGU